rnacentral:lncRNA from 1 species
CCACCGCCAGCCCCUAGCCCGGCGCUGAGCGGGCGCCCGAGGGGCCGCCUGUAAGCGUGAGUUAAGCAGGCCGCCGCGCGCUCUCGGAACUCCCCCAAACACCACCAGCUACUACCUCGCCUGCUCACAGAUACCAGAGGAGAGGCAGAGAUGCCGACCCCUGGGUUGGCCUGGGCAAGGGGUUCUCAAGGUCUCAUCUAAACAGCUGACCACAGCCACGUGUCUUCACACAAGAGGCUGGCUGGCGUAUAGAAUUCACAGGACUCCUGGGCCUGCCUGGAGAG